AAGUCAGGCAGUGCCCACAGCAUCAGUGACCCAGGAGUCCAGUCUUUCAUAAUGGACUUACAGCUUCCAUUCGUUGGUAGGCAAGCUGCGCUUUGAACCAGGAAUUUAGUACCCACGAUCUCAACCUUACGCCCACCCUUCGAGGUUCCUUGUUAUCUGUGUUUGACAGCUGCGGAAAUGGAUGCUCUGGGAGGUUAAGAACCUUGCCAAGGAGCACACAGCUUGUAAGUGGCUGCACUGG
rnacentral:lncRNA from 10 species